CACAGAAAACAAACCGCCGGGCAACCGGUAAGGGUGAAAAGGUGGGGUAAGAGCCCACCGCUUGCGUGGCGACAGGCAAGGCACGGCAAACCCCUCCUGGAGCAAAACCAAAUAGGGAAGCAUUUGAGGGCGGCCCGCCCGAAGCUUCCGGGUAGGUUGCAAGAGAUGCCGGGCAACCGGCAUCCACAGAGAAAUGAUCAUGGCCCUUGCAAAAGGGUACAGAAUCCGGCUUAUAGCCCACUCCCUUUU
rnacentral:ncRNA from 2 species